ACUUGUGCUCUUGGAUGCAAAAAGUGGCCGUUUAAACAAACAAAAGCCUUUUCAGCCAGAGGGGGUUCCAAGAUUUGGAAAAGUCCAGAUUCUCCUAGAAGAAAUUGUAGCUGUGCCCAUUCUCACCAGCAAUGGUAGGGGGUUGUUGAGUUUCUUCACAAGAUUACUGACUCAUGCAUUUUGCUAAUCAGUAGCAACAGGAGCCAAACUUGGAUUCACCCUGAUAAAGCAGACAUUUGGGACUUCAUGUGAUCUAAUUG